GACGUAGGGACCGAGCGUUGUCCGGAGUUACUGGGCGUAAAGCGCGCGCAGGCGGAUCAUCGCAUCAUCGGUGAAAGCCCCCCGCUCAACGGGGGAGGGUCCGGUGAGAUGGGUGAUCUGGAGGCAGGGAGAGGCGAGUGGAAUUCCGGGUGUAGUGGUGAAAUGCGUAGAGAUCCGGAGGAACACCAGUGGCGAAGGCGGCUCGCUGGACCUGACCUGACGCUGAGGCGCGAAGGCGUGGGGAGCGAACGGG
rnacentral:rRNA from 1 species